rnacentral:rRNA from 1 species
AGGACGAACGCUGGCGGCGUGCUUAACACAUGCAAGUCGAACGGAAAGGCCCUGCUUUUGUGGGGUGCUCGAGUGGCGAACGGGUGAGUAACACGUGAGUAACCUGCCCUUGACUUUGGGAUAACUUCAGGAAACUGGGGCUAAUACCGGAUAGGAGCUCCUGCUGCAUGGUGGGGGUUGGAAAGUUUCGGCGGUUGGGGAUGGACUCGCGGCUUAUCAGCUUGUUGGUGGGGUAGUGGCUUACCAAGGCUUUGACGGGUAGCCGGCCUGAGAGGGUGACCGGCCACGAUUGGGACUGAGAUACGGCCCAGACUCCUACGGGAGGCAGCAGUGGGGAAUAUUGCACAAUGGGCGAAGCCUGAUGCAGCAACGCGCGUGCGGGAUGACGGCCUUGGGUGUAAACCGCUUUCGCCUGUGACGAAGCGUGAGUGACGGUAAUGGUAAAGAAGCACGGCUAACUACGUGCCAGCAGCCGC